UACGGGGGGAGCAAGCGUUGUUCGGAUUUACUGGGCGUAAAGGGCGCGUAGGCGGCCACCGCAAGUCAAUUGUGAAAUCUCCGGGCUUAACUCGGAAAGGUCAACUGAUACUGCGGGGCUAGAGUGCGGAAGGGGCAACUGGAAUUCUCGGUGUAGCGGUGAAAUGCGCAGAUAUCAGGAAGAACACCCGUGGCGAAAGCGGCUCUCUGGAACGGUACUGACGCUGAGACGCGAAAGCGUGGGGAGCGAACAGG
rnacentral:rRNA from 1 species